UAAACUUUACUACAUUUUUAGCAGCGAUUUUGAUAGUUUUUCCAGUUUGUGGGUUUCUACCUUCACGAGCAGCUCUUUUAGAUACAGCCCAAGAUCCGAAUCCUACUAGAGAAACUCUGUCACCUUUUUUAAGAGAUCCUUCUACAUUU
rnacentral:misc_RNA from 1 species